rnacentral:rRNA from 1 species
AGCGGCGGAUGGGUGAGUAACACGUGGGGAACCUGCCCCUAAGUCUGGGAUACCAUUUGGAAACAGGUGCUAAUACCGGAUAAUAAAGCAGAUCGCAUGAUCAGCUUUUGAAAGGCGGCGUAAGCUGUCGCUAAGGGAUGGCCCCGCGGUGCAUUAGCUAGUUGGUAAGGUAACGGCUUACCAAGGCGACGAUGCAUAGCCGAGUUGAGAGACUGAUCGGCCACAUUGGGACUGAGACACGGCCCAAACUCCUACGGGAGGCAGCAGUAGGGAAUCUUCCACAAUGGACGCAAGUCUGAUGGAGCAACGCCGCGUGAGUGAAGAAGGUUUUCGGAUCGUAAAGCUCUGUUGUUGGUGAAGAAGGAUAGAGGUAGUAACUGGCCUUUAUUUGACGGUAAUCAACCAGAAAGUCACGGCUAACUACGUGCCAGCAGCCGCGGUAACACGUAGGUGGCAAGCGUUGUCCGGAUUUAUUGGGCGUAAAGCGAGCGCAGGCGGAAAAAUAAGUCUAAUGUGAAAGCCCUCGGCUUAACCGAGGAACUGCAUCGGAAACUGUUUUUCUUGAGUGCAGAAGAGGAGAGUGGAACUCCAUGUGUAGCGGUGGAAUGCGUAGAUAUAUGGAAGAACACCAGUGGCGAAGGCGGCUCUCUGGUCUGCAACUGACGCUGAGGCUCGAAAGCAUGGGUAGCGAACAGGAUUAGAUACCCUGGUAGUCCAUGCCGUAAACGAUGAGUGCUAAGUGU